AUUUUGAAGGGGUGCUUUCUGUAAGGAAAAUGCGUUAUAAAUUUAGCCUCCACCUGGGUGACAGAGCGAGACCCUGUCUUAAAAAAAAAAAAAUCUUGACUACAUGUUGAAAUAGUAUUAUUUUGGAUACAUUGAGUUAAAUAAAUACAUUUUUAAAACUUCUUUCCUCUGUUUCUUUGUACAUUUUUCAUGUGGCUACAAAAAAAUAUAAGCUUGUUGUAGGUUUCUGUUGGACAGUGCUGAAUUGCCACAGCUAACACCAAGAUGAUAGUUGUUUAUUAUCCAUUCUCACUGUCAGAAAACAAGAUGCUUGGGGCUCUGGUUUUGUUUGCUUAUUUUUUUGUUUUUAAACAGAAGUUUUGCUG
rnacentral:lncRNA from 10 species